rfam:Stegodyphus mimosarum contig74096, whole genome shotgun sequence.
GCCUUUGUGGUGUAAUGGUGAGCACGCUCGACGCGUAAGCCAGAGGUCCGUGAUUCGAUUCCCGGCGAAGGCG